UACGUAGGGGGCAAGCGUUGUCCGGAAUCAUUGGGCGUAAAGAGCGUGUAGGCGGUUCGAUAAGUCUGCUGUGAAAGUCCAGGGCUCAACCCUGGGAUGCCGGUGGAUACUGUCGGGCUAGAGUACGGAAGAGGCGAGUGGAAUUCCCGGUGUAGCGGUGAAAUGCGCAGAUAUCGGGAGGAACACCUAUUGCGAAGGCAGCUCGCUGGGACGUUACUGACGCUGAGACGCGAAAGCGUGGGGAGCAAACAGG
rnacentral:rRNA from 1 species